CCCUACGGGGCGCAGCAGUCGAGAAUCAUUCACAAUGGGGGAAACCCUGAUGGUGCGACGCCGCGUGGGGGAAUGAAGGUCUUCGGAUUGUAAACCCCUGUCAUGUGGGAGCAAAUUAAAAAGAUAGUACCACAAGAGGAAGAGACGGCUAACUCUGUGCCAGCAGCCGCGGUAAUACGGAGGAUGCGAGCGUUAUCCGGAUUUAUUGGGUUUAAAGGGUGCGCAGGCGGCACGGCAAGCCGGCGGUCAAAUCGCGGGGCUCAACCCCGCCCAGCCGUCGGAACUGCCGGGCUAGAGUGGGCGAG
rnacentral:rRNA from 1 species